CUGGACCAAUUCCUCCGCCGCCGGCAUUUGCGGACCCGCCUCGUCCUGGAUUCGAACACGGGAUGCACGCAUUAUAAGCAGACACUGUAACCAUUAUGCCACUGCUGACCAUGUUAUGAGUUGGUACUCCAGGAUUCGAACACAGGAAAAACGCAUUGCAAGCGGACACUGUAACCAUUAUGCCACUGCUGACCACGAUAUGAGCAGGCUCUCCAGGGCCAUCGUAGAGUUGUGUGUCCUCUCCGGCUCCCUCAGCCAGCGACACGGGCUGUGAACCGCAUGCGGCACCUUCCGUGGUGGACCGCAUGCUUCCUAGGUUGCCAUGACAAUCAGGUCAAGCGAGGACCCGGAAGUAACAGACGGCGGAGAGCAGAGACGGAGACGCGGCGGGAGACGUGGAGGACGGCGUACUCGGGCCCACAGGGGUAUUUUAGGGGAACCAGUUGUCUUAAGCAUAGUGUAUAAGGUUGUCAUGGUGAUGGGGAGCACAUGGAUGACGUCAUCACUGACGGACACGCCGCUGGGCGGGUUUUCUGUCCCGUGUCCGGAUCAACGGCGUUUCACACCUGGUGAGGUCUCUAUAUAU